rnacentral:miRNA from 1 species
GGCUCUUGCGGGAGGUGGGGGAAGUGGCAGAGCGAGGCUCUCUCACUUCCCCCACCUCCCGCAAAAGCC